rnacentral:rRNA from 1 species
CAAUAGCGUAUAUUAAAGUUGUUGCAGUUAAAAGCUCGUAGUUGGAUUUCUGUUCUCGAGGAUCGGUCCGCCUCACGGUGAGCACUGGUUUUCUUGGGACAUCCUCUCGAAGGCGGGUGGUGCACUUAAUUGUGUGCUGCUUGGAUUCGGGACCUUUACUUUGAAAAAUUAGAGUGUUUAAAGCAGGCUUUUGCUGUGAAUACAUUAGCAUGGAAUAAUAAUCUAGGACUUCGGUUCUAUUUUGUUGGUUUCUAGUACUGAAGUAAUGAUUGAUAGGGAUAGUUGGGGGUGGCUAGUAUUGGCCUGGCCCGAGAGGUGAAAUUCUUGGAUUCGGUCAAGACUAACUUAUGCGAAAGCAUUCACCAAGGAUGUCUUCUUUAAUCAAGAACGAAAGUUGGGGAUGCGAAGACGAUUAGAUACC